GCCGAGCAUCCUAGUAAGUUAUUUAUCAUGCCCUGAGGCUUGAUGGAAUACAGCUUCCUUGAUGAAGAGAUAAAAAGGAACGACAUAAAAGCAAGGUUUAAAAAGAAAAGACUCAUUAAAAAUACAAAAUCCGACUAGGGAGAGAAUGGAGUUGGAAAGAAAUGGAAGUGCAGAGUGAUGGAAAAAACGAGAAGGAUUUGGAGAGCACACUUUUUUUCUGCCGUGACAGGCCACAGCUGGGGGAUCCGAAUGGAACUAUAGAAGAUGACAAUCCUCUUGACCUCUGAGUGGCCAGAUCACACCACAACAGCACAUGCCAGCUUUGGGAAGCAUCUGAGACCAGCCUUCUCGGAGUGCCAAAUCUGGUUACUGAUUCCUCAUUCAUCUACAACACCAUCACAGUUUGGAAGGCACGCCUUCUAUCAGGAGAAACACACUGGACAAAUAAUCCUAAGAGGAGAUUCAGGAAAAGGAUCCCCACUCACUGCCUAUGGAGGAGAGUUCAGAGACCUGACUUUGAUGUACCAAUCCACUCUCAGAGGCUCUCUUUCGGUCUUGCUUGCGUCCUGCUGAGGAGUGAAGCACAAGACUCCCGAAGCAACCUGUAUGCCCCAGAUCAUCAGGUGCUGCCACCAAUACUUGAAGAAAAGUAAUUCAUAAGAGAGGCAAACCAACACAAACCAAUGAACAUUAUGGUAAAUGUGCUGUCAUGUUUAGCUUCUCUGUGGCCCUGGAGCAACUCCGUGUCUUGGUCAUUACUUAACUGUGGUGCCAGGAGGUUGUCAUCAAGGUCACCCAGUUACA